UUCCAUCACCUCUCCCCAAACACUGCUCACCCUCCUGGGUUCCUGGCGAGGAGGAGACCCCCGAGGCACUGCUGUGCUGAAGAUGUUCAUUAUUUUUGACUCACAAUGUAAUUUGCUCAUGGCCAGAUCCGAUUCGUGUGCAACAGUGAUGUCACAGAACUGACCAGAUUCUUCAAAUGACCUCAUUAGAUAAUUGAUAAACUGCAUCCUGAGGAACAUUGAUUAAGGCCACAAAAUGUCUGCUGCUCUGAGUGAGAUGAUAGAUGUGCUUUAAAGGAGAGUUCU